rnacentral:tRNA from 1 species
GACUCUAUAGCUUAAAGGAUAGAGCGUCAGUUUCCGGAACUGAAAGUGGAGGUUCGAUUCCUCCUAGAGUCA